CCAGAGAACUUAGCAGAGAUGCUUGGUGCCUUCGGGAACGUCUGAGACAGGUGCUGCAUGGCUGUCGUCAGCUCGUGUUGUGAAAUAGUUGGGGUUAAGUCCCGCAACGAGCGCAACCCUUAUCCUUUGUUGCCAGCGGCUCGGCCGGGAACUCAAAGGAGACUGCCGGUGAUAAACCGGAGGAAGGUGGGGAUGACGUCAAGUCAUCAUGGCCCUUACGGCCAGGGCUACACACGUGCUACAAUGGCGCAUACAAAGAGAAGCGACCUCGCGAGAGCAAGCGGACCUCAUAAAGUGCGUCGUAGUCCGGAUUGGAGUCUGCAACUCGACUCCAUGAAGUCGGAAUCGCUAGUAAUCGUAGAUCAGAAUGCUACGGUGAAUACGUUCCCGGGCCUUGUACACACCGCCCGUCACACCAUGGGAGUGGGUUGCAAAAGAAGUAGGUAGCUUAACCUUCGGGAGGGCGCUUACCACUUUGUGAUUCAUGACUGGGGUGAAGUCGUAACAAGGUAGGCGUAGCGAG
rnacentral:rRNA from 1 species